AACCCAUGGUAAAGGCACAUUCUCAAUAAAUCCUUGUACCUUUCACAUGCAUCAUAAGAGUCUCUAAAUUAAUCUGAACAAAGGAAGAGAUAUCAUUUCUCAACUU
rnacentral:snoRNA from 1 species